rnacentral:rRNA from 1 species
GACGAACGCUGGCGGCGUGGAUUAGGCAUGCAAGUCGAACGGUAUCAUCCUUUCGGGGGUGAGAGAGUGGCGAACUGGUGAGUAACACGUAGGUUAUCUACCCUCAAGACGGGGACAACCCAGGGAAACUUGGGCUAAUACCGGAUGUGAGCAACUUUUAGUUGUUUGAAAGGUGGCGUAAGCUGUCGCUUGGGGAUGAGCCUGCGUCCUAUUAGUUAGUUGGUGAGGUAACGGCUCACCUAGGCAAUGAUAGGUAGGCGGCCUUAACGGGUGGUCGCCCACACUGGUACUGAGACACGGACCAGACUCCUACGGGAGCAGCAGUGAGGAAUAUUGGUCAAUGGGGCGAGAGCCUGAACCAGCCAAGUCGCGUGAAGGAAGAAGGUCUUAUGGAUUGUAAACUUCUUUAGCAGGGGAAUAAAGGUUAUUACGAGCUAAUAAUUUUGCAGGUACUCUGCGAAAAAGGAUCGGCUAAACUCCGUGCCAAGCAAGCCGCGGUAAUAUCACGUGUA